rnacentral:lncRNA from 1 species
CUUCCUUCUAGCUAAUAGAAUAUGGAAAAGAUGAAAGGGUUUGGCAGAUGUACUUAACUGAAUUGAGUUGCUUUUGAGUUCAUCAAAAGGGAGAAUAUCUUGGGUGAGCUUGGUUUAAUUAAUAGAAGCCCUUGGAAGAGGGAUUUGGCCCUUUUGGAGGCUAGAGCCUCUGUCCUGCUGGCCUUGCAGAAGCAAGCAACUAUGUUGUGAUCAGCCCCUGGAGAGGGUCAUGUGGCAGGAAAUGGUAGGUGGCUCCAGGACCUGAGGGAAGACAGCAGUCAGCAAGACACAGGGUGCCUUCCAUCAUCGGUUGCAAGGAAAUGAAUUCUGCCAAGUUGGACGAGCUUGACAGCAGAUUAUUCCCCACUCGCACCUCCAGAUGAGAAUGCAGCCUCUCCCUCCAACACCUUGAAUGUAACCCCAAGAGACCCUGAGCAGAAGACACAGCCAAGCAGUGCCCAGACUUCGCCAAUGGAAACUGUGGAAGAAUAAAUGUGUGCUGUUGGGAGCUGAUAAAUUUGUGACCAUUUGUUGUGCAGUGUCUUAGUUUCUUUGGGAUGUUAUAACAAAAUAUCUUAGACUGGGUAAUUUAUAAAUGACAGAAAUUUAUUUCUCAUGGUUCUAGAGACUGGGGAGUCCAAUAUAAAGUCCCCAGCAGAUUCAGUGCUUGGUCAGGGCUCACUCUUGCUUCAUAGUUGCCCACUUGCUGUGCCACCAUGUGGCAGAUGGAGUGAACAGCUGCCUCAAACCUUUUUUUUUAAAGUUAUUAUUAUUAUUAUUAUUUUUUAUUUUUUAUUUUUUGAGACAGUCUUGCUGUGUCGCCCAGACUGGAGUGCAAUGGUGUGAUUUUGGCUCACUGCAACCUCCUGCAGCCUCCGUCUCCAGGGUUCAAGCAAUCCUCCUGCCUCAGCCUCCCGAGUAGCUGGGAUUACAGGCAUGUGCCAUCAUGUCUGGCUGAUUUUUCUAUUUUUAGUAGAGACGGGGUUUCACCAUGUUGGCCAGGCUGGUCUCGAACUCCUCACCUUACGUGAUCUGCCCGCCUCAGCCUCCCAAAGUGCUGGGAUUACAGGCAUGAGCCACUGUGCCCGGCCUAUGUUUUUCUUUUUUUUUUUUUGAGACAGAGUCUCACUCUGUUGCCCAGGAUGGAGUGCAGUGGUGUGAUCUUGGCUCACUGCAAGCUCCGCCUCCCAGGUUCACGCCAUUCUCCUGCCUCAGCCUCCCGAGUAGCUGGGACUAUAGGCGCCCGCCACCACGCCUGGCUAAUUUUUUGUAUUUUUAGUAGAGAUGGGGUUUCACCGUGUUAGCCAGGACAGUCUCGAUCUCCUGACCUUGUGAUCCGCCCAUCUCAGCCUCCCAUAGUGCUGGGAUUACAGGCGUGAGCCACCACACCUGGCCGUUUUUCUUAAUUUGACAUCCUGUAGAUCAAUAGGCAUAUUUUAUCUUUGGCUGCUUGUGGAAGCCUUUUCAUACCACAAUCAAAUUCUCCUUCUUGUUUCUCUGAAUCACUUCCACCGUCUGCCCCCAUCUCUGACCUUUCACGGGUGCUUACUGAACACUUACAGUACCUAAAGAUCUAUGCCUGGCAGUGAAGGAGCUGGUCAAACUGUGCAUUAAGAAAUCCACAUUCCUGGCCAGAGAGAGCCUUGAGCGGGAGGCCUGUAGGGACACAACACCAUUUACCCACCAUGGGACAUGGAUAUGGCCCCUGGUGACUUGUUUAAAGAAAGACAGAAGGAACAGGAGGAAUUCAUGUCAUCCCAGGCAUCCAUCCCAGCCCUGCUGCUGAGCUGAUGAGCUCGAAGGGACAAUGACUGGGUUUUUGACAGUUCAGUACGUGAAAGAAUUCAAAUUUACAGCUGUUGGAAUUUUAAAUUAUUCUGACCCUUGAGAGGAAUGUGGCUAGGUGGCUUGACUCACACAUGGCAUACAGCUUUUUUUUUUUUUUUGAGACAGAGUCUUGCUCUGUUGCCCAGGCUAGAGUGCAGUGGCACAAUCUCGGCUCACUGCAACCUCCGCCCCCCGGGUUCAAGUGAUUCUCCUGCCUCAGCCUCCCAAGUAGCUGGGAUUACAGGCGCCCACCACCAUGCCCAGCUAAUUUUUGUAUUUUUAGUAAAGACGGGGUUUCACCAUGUUGGCCAGGCUGGUCUCGCACUCCCGACCUUGUGAUCCACCCGCCUCGGACUCCCAAAGUGUUGGAAUUAUAGGCAUGAGCCACCGUGCCUGGCAACUUCUGCCUUUUUUUUUUUCUGUAAAUAAUUAGGACGACUAGGCUGGGUGUGGUGGCUCAUGCCUAUACCCACUGCUUUGGGAGGCUGAGGCAGGACAAUGGCUAGAGCCCAGGAGUUCCAGACCAGCCAGGGCAACAUAGUGAGACCCUGUCUCUAUAAAAUUGUUUUUAAUAAAUAAAUAAUUAGGAAGACUAAACAGAGCCAGAGAUAAGACCCUCACAGAUUACGAUCCCUACAGAGGGAGUAAUAAAUUAUCUUCCCUGAAACUACACCAAUAAAAUUGCUGUAAUGUAUACACUGGGCUCGUAUGGAAAAUGUAAUCCUGGCCGGGCGUGGUGGCUCAUGGCUGUAAUCCCAGCACUUUGGGAGGCCAAAGCAAGCAGAUAGCUUCAGUUCAGGAGUUCGAGACCAGCCUGGGGAACAUGGUAAAACCCCAUCUUUACUAAAAAUAGAGAAAAAAUAGCUGGGUGUGGUGGUGUAUGCCUGUAGUCCCAGCUACUCGGGAGGCUGAGGUAUGAGAAACACUUGAACUUGAGAGGCGGAGGCUGCAGUGAGCUGAGAUAGCGCCACUGCACUCCAGCCUGAGUGACAGGGCGAGACUCUGUCUCAAAAGAAAAAAAAAAAAAAAAGGCGGAUGCAGUGGCUUACGACUGUGAUUCCAACACUUUGGGAGGCCAAGGUGGGCGGAUCAACUGAGGUCAGGGGUUCAAGACUAGCCUCGCCAACAUGGUGAAACCCCAUCUCUACUAAAAAUACAAAAAUUACCCGGGCAUGGUGGCGGGUGCUGUAAUCCCAGCUACUCAGGAGGCUGAGGCAGGAGAAUCACUUGAACCCAGGAGGCGGAGGUUGCAGUGAGCCAAGACCGCGCCACUGCACUCCAGCCUGGGCGACAGAGACUCCAUCUCAAAUAAGAUAAUAAUAAUAAUAAUAAAUAAAAAAUAAAAGAAAGUAAAGGAAUAAAAGAAUGACUACUCCACAGCCAGAGCAGCAGCAUGAGCUGCUGGACUGAGUAUACUUAUAGUUAUUUCUUGGUUCUAUGGUAAACAAGGGGUGGAUUAUUCAUGAGUUUUCCAGGAAAGCAGAGGGCAAUUCCUGGAACUAAGGUUUCCCCUCCUUUUCAGACCAUAUAGGGUAACUUCCUGACGUUGCCAUGGCAUCUAUAAACUGUCACAGCACCGGUAGGAGUGUCUUUUAGCAUGCUAAUGUAUUAUAAUUAGAGUAUAAUGAGCGGUGAGGACAACCAGAAGUCACUUUCAUCACCAUCGUGGUUUUGGCUGGCUUCUUUACCGCAUCCUCUUCUAUCAGCAGGGGCUUUGUGACCUGUAUCUUGUGAUACCAAACCUGCUGACCUCCUAUUUCAUCCUGUGACCAAGAAUGCCCAACCUCCUGGGGAUGGAGCCCAGCAGUUCUCAGCCUCAUUUUACCCAGCCCCUGUUCAAGAUGGAGUCGCUCGGGUUCAAACACUUCUGACCCUUGUACUGUGGCACUGACCUGAUCAAUGUAUCCUACUGUGAAAGGAAAAUAAAUCUCGGGACCCCAAGAUCACUACGCCAAAGAGAAAAGUCAAGCUGAGGGUCGCAUCAGACAAACCUGCCUCCCGUUUUAUUCUUCAAUAAGAUAGCUAGAAAGUUCAAAAGAGCUACAUACCCCCCUCACAAUUUCUCCACAAGCAAAUUCCUUUCGGGCCUCAAGAUCUUUGCCCUAAAACAGUUCUGAUGAAUUUUCCCUGGCAAUGUAAAUUGAUAGCUUAUCUUCACAGGUACAAUGCAGAAAGUCAGCCCUCCGCUCACUGAAGACAAAUGCAUAUGUGAUUUCUUCCUCUGUCCUAUUGUUUAUACAAAAUGCAGAUUCACUGAGCCAGACAGUGAGUAAGGCAUAUGUGACUAUUCCUCUACCCACUCUCACAUGUAAAUUGUGUAUUCAGUGAAAGGCUGAUCACAGACUCAAAAGAAAGCAAACUUUUGGCCGGGCAUGCUGGCUCACGCCUAUAAUCCCAGCACUUUGGGAGGCUGAGAUGGGUGGAUUACCUGAGGUCAGGAGUUCAAGACCAGCCUGGCCAACAUGGUGAGAUCCUGUCUCUACUAAAAAUAAAAAAAUUAGCCUGGCGUGGUGGCACACACCUGUAGUCCCAGCUACUCAGGAGGCUGAGAAAGGAGAAUCGCUUGAACCUGGGAGGUGGAGGUUGCAGUGAGCUGAGAUCUCACCACUGCACUGCAGCCUGGGUGACAGAGUGAGACUCCCUCUCAAAAAAAAAAAAAAAAAAAAAGAACUCGGGAUAGGGGGACAUGGGUCCCCAAGCCCCUGAAUUCAGGAAAACUAUAUUGAACUUUGUCACCACACAUGAAAACUGCAAGGGGCCACAGAAAGCUCCUAAUUCAAUGCCUCUUUUUCAUUUUUUUUCAAUGCCUCUUUUAAUGUGGAAACUAAAGCUAAAGAGGAGAUAAAUGGCUACAGAGUGUCACAGGCAGGACAGAACCCAGGGCUCCCUACCUCUAGACUGUUUCUCCAGCAGUCUA